UACCAGCACCCCGAGUGGUCGGGACGUUUAUUGGGCCUAAAGCAUCCGUAGCCGGUUCUACAAGUCUUCCGUUAAAUCCACCUGCUUAACAGAUGGGCUGCGGAAGAUACUAUGGAGCUAGGAGGCGGGAGAGGCAAGCGGUACUCGAUGGGUAGGGGUGAAAAAUCCGUUGAUCCAUUGAAGACCACCAGUGGCGAAGGCGGCUUGCCAGAACGCGCU
rnacentral:rRNA from 1 species